ACCAGGAGUUGACAGAUUAUGGCCUGUGGACCAAAUGCUGCCUGCUGCCUGUUUUUGUUAUUACAAGAUAUUGAAUAUGCUUCCCUGUGCUGUACAUCUCCAGCUUCGAUGAUGUGCGUGCCCUGCUGGAGAAGCUGAUGUCCUGUGUCCCAGAGCUCAACAUGUUCCUGGCCCAAGAGGUGGGGAAGCAGGGGAGGAGAGCUGGUGAGAGGAGCUUCUGUCCAGGUGCUGCCCCGCAUCACCCCGGUGAGACUGCAGACCAGCAACUACAUGCAUGCACCCCGACAGCCCAGAGGACCAGUGCUGACCUUCUGAACCCAAACAGAAUCUGGCUGCUGCUGCUUCCCUUCUGCCUUCCAAAUCUCAUGUAAAAUGCCUUUUGGGGCCCAAGCUAAUUAUGCAGGGAAAGGAAUUCUGGGAAACAUAAUUCCAGUUGAGCUAAAUUCACUCAGUACAAAUACGCCACAGCAGCCCCACCACCACAAUAUAUUGACCUCAAUAUCUUUUCUCUUUUGAAUUACCUAGCAUGCAUUUU